CCUACGGGAGGCAGCAGUGGGGAAUAUUGCACAAUGGGCGAAAGCCUGAUGCAGCGACGCCGCGUGAGGGAUGACGGCCUUCGGGUUGUAAACCUCUUUCAGCAGGGAAGAAGCGAAAGUGACGGUACCUGCAGAAGAAGCGCCGGCUAACUACGUGCCAGCAGCCGCGGUAAUACGUAGGGCGCAAGCGUUGUCCGGAAUUAUUGGGCGUAAAGAGCUCGUAGGCGGCUUGUCACGUCGGGUGUGAAAGCCCGGGGCUUAACCCCGGGUCUGCAUUCGAUACGGGCUAGCUAGAGUGUGGUAGGGGAGAUCGGAAUUCCUGGUGUAGCGGUGAAAUGCGCAGAUAUCAGGAGGAACACCGGUGGCGAAGGCGGAUCUCUGGGCCAUUACUGACGCUGAGGAGCGAAAGCGUGGGGAGCGAACAGGAUUAGAUACCCUGGUAGUCCACGCCGUAAACGGUGGGAACUAGGUGUUGGCGACAUUCCACGUCGUCGGUGCCGCAGCUACGACAUUAACGUUACCCGUCCGUCGGGAGGUACGGCCGCGACGACGUAAACUACAAACGAAAGUAGUACGGCGNGAGACGUGCCGAACGGACGACGACGAGGGAGAGG
rnacentral:rRNA from 1 species